rnacentral:lncRNA from 1 species
UUUACUGAUAACGUAUUUCAAAAUAGUAAAAAAAAAAAAAAAAAAAAAAAAAAAAAAUUAGUCCCUCCAAAUUAAAAUAAUUUAGAACUUAUGAGUUGUAAGAAUGGUACAAGGAAUUCUAUAUAUUGUGGACCCAGAUUAGUAAUCGCUUUAUCACUUCUCCUUCCCUCUCUCUCAUGCACACACACGCACACUUAUACAUGCACACAUAUCUACACAUACUUAUAUACGCAUACAUUUUUUCCUAAGCCAUUUCAGUGAGUUUAUCUUUAAAUCUUUCAGCUUGUAUUUCCUGAAAACAUAAUCAAAUACAGUUAUCCAAUUCAGGAGCCUUCACAUUGAUAUGAGAGUACUGGUACAGCUGAAUUCAUCUCGGGCUGAUUGCGUUGCUGCACCGUCACAGUCCGUAUUCGGACUUAGCCAUUGUGGCAAUAAUAUCCUGUAAAGCCGUUUCUUUUCCCUCUGCGUCCGGGAUCCAGCCCAGUAGUGCUCGUGGCUUUGGGGUGCCGUGUCUCUUUGAUCUUCCAUAAUCUGAAACAGCUCUUCAGUCUUCUUGUCUUUUAUGACAUUGACUCAUUUUAAGAGAACAGAGAAUGUCCCUCAUUUGGGAUUUUUCCGCUGUCUCCUCAUGAUUAGAUGAGGACAUAUUUUCCCAUCAUUCAUUGCAGUAUCUUUUUGAAUAAUCUAAAUUCGUAAGAGGGUCACCCAGUGGAAGAUGGGUAGCACACCUCAGAGCCCUGUCACCUCAAAUGUGACUGGGUCAGUUAUGGCUCAUGGUUGAGCAUGGCUGGCAGCCCUGCCAUGUUAGGCAUUUUCUUCUUUUGUUGUCACUGAAGUAUAGUUGAUUUACAAUGUUGCAUUAAUUUCUGCCAUACAGCAAAGUAAUUCAGUUAUACAUAUAUACAUUCUUUUCCAUAUUCUUUUCCAUUAUGGUGUAUCACAGGAGAUUGGAUAUAGUUCCCUAUGCAACACGGUAGAACUUUGCUUAUCCAUUCUAUAUAUUAUAGUUUGCACCUGCUUAUCCCAAACUCCCCAUCCAUCCCUCCCCCACGCCCAUGGCAACCACAAGUCUGUCCUCUAGGUCACACAGGAGACGUUUCCCAACAAAGUAUCCAGGGGUUCAUUCCAGAAUACAAAAGCAACCAUUUCAGCCUGAAACCUGUUUUUACCCUCCUCUUUAUUAAUGUUUUAGGGAUGUAAAAGCUCAUGAAAGAACAGGCCAGAUAUAUUACCAAAAAUAUUUAGGCUAUGUAAUGUAAUUCUAUUACUAUCAGUUAUUAGCAAGUUAAGUUUUUCAACUAAUACUACCUUUUACUGUUUCAAGAAAAGGUUGCCUGACAAAUGGAAGGCCUGGGAAUUAUGAGUCAAUGUCACUGGCCCAGCAAAGAAACUAGUGAACAGAACCUACAAGGGACAUUCACAUUGAGGCCAGGGAAUGAAAUCUAUAGACUGCUUGUCUGGAAGUUGAGACUCCCCCCGCAACCCCCUACCGCCCAGGUUUUGAAUGAUGGGCUAGGUUCUAAGAGACGUUUCUGUGGGAACUAUGUGACAUGCAUAUGGGAAUUUAUGUUUACCUGUGGUUGGGUCUGGAAGAAGAAAUCGUCAAAGAACUGUUUCUUGUCCCUGGAGCUGAAAAGGUUCCUGUCUAAGUCCUCCAGGGCCUUCGGUGUUUUCACUGAUGUGAGCCAGGUUCACCCAUGCCCACAGGCACAUGCACAUUCAAAGUACUGGACAGUACCACACAGUUCUUCUCGACUUUGCUGUGUGACUCUUUGAUUGUACUCACCUUCACUGCUUUCUACAGUUCUUUCCUUCUCCUCCUCCCUUCCUGUUUUUCUGCAGUUAUUUCCAGUCUUAAAAAUGCAGACCUCACAAUGAUUUUCCCAGGCUGAGAUACCAGGAUCUCGAAGCUUCUAAUCAUAAUAUUCAGUGCUUCCCCCGAUGUAUAGCUCUUAGCUUCCUUAAUUCUGUGCUUAGUUUCCCCCUGCUCUCUUACAGCUUCUACAAGCCUCUCCUGAACUGCUUACUCAGUUCUGCUCAGUGCAAAGCCAGGGGGUUGCAAAGAUCAAGGGGAGGCUGGGCAGCUCUGUGGGGUGAUGCUGCUGCUCCUCAGUCAUUCAUCCGACAAGCACACCUUGAGCAUCUGCUGUCUGCCAGGCACCACUCUCAGAGCUGGAGAUACAGAGACAACAGGUCAGACCACAUUCCCACCCACAUGGACCUUAUGCUUGAGUGGAGAGUCCUGUGAAGUCCUAGUAAGUAAAGCAGGAAGACAUCCGUCCAGGCGGCGAUAUGCACUGUGAUGAAAGUCAAACAAACGUGAAGGGUAGGGAUGAGACAGGGCAGUAGGGGAAUGGUUAGGGCACCCCCCCACCCCCACUCCAGUCUCUGUCUCAGCUGGAUGCCCUCAUCUUACAGGUAGAACUUGGGGUCAAGGAACUGGGGGAGACUCCAUUUGAUAAUCUGAGAAAUUACCUACUUCCUGAAGACAAAGACUUUCCAUUUGUUCCAGGGGAAGCUAACAGAGCAUGUAUUAUCUUCUAACGUAAUUUUUAAAUGACAGAGUCAGAACUGUGGACCACAGAUUUGAAUCGUCUUGCCAGUGCUUUCUAGAUACGACAUAACUUUACUGUAUGAUUAAUUCCAGUGAUUCUUAGCAAGUAAUUACCAUUCACACACAUCUGCCCUUAAAACCGGGCCAUAUGCAAGUCUCUCUUACAAAUCAAAAGGUAACAGACUGAAAUGAUGAUUUCAAACAGGGUAUGUGUUAAUUUUGCAGAUCAUUGCAAAAGGUCAUGUCUUUGGGCUGCAAAGGUAUGAAUUUUUCGGGUGCAUCACAGUAUCCUAGAUGGGACACGAGAGGAAGGAAGGGCUGGAUCUGUUCAGGGCGUGACUGGUACAAAUGGAUUCUUCUCUUUGGGUGCCAGCCUGCAAUAGUUGCCUUUUGAAUUUAUCAGUGAGUGGCUUUAUACCCUCUAUUACGGGAAAGCACUCGCAUACCCUCCAAAAACCAUAAAUGCUUUCACCAAAACCUGACCCAAGGUAUUCCCUUGGGGAUAAGGAGGCAAGACAGGUCUAAUGCUUGUGGUGGGGCACAGAACCUCUGCAUCUAGCCCACAAGCUUUCACCCAGGUGGGCAGCCUCUCCAUCACUCUGAAGUGUCGUCCCCCCCCAAUUCCUGCCCCUCCACAAACCUGGGGAUUCCUGUGGUCUUCACCCUGUCACAAGAAAUGCACGAACAGCCCUGGCCAGAACCCCCCCAGGGCUUGUAGUUAGAUGGUUUGGGAAAGCCCCCUCUGGGAGAGCCCUGGCUGAGGCCUUUGAUAGCUGCACCUUACCUGGGGGACAACAGAAAUCGCCUCUCUCCUGUCCUUCCCUCUGCUCUGAUCACCUGAUUCCCCCAACCCUGAAAUCAGCAAAGGCGCAAUGGAAGGGCUAAGAAGAACACCUUUUAGGUAUUUCCAGCCACAGUAAGGGACCACAGAGGCUCCCUGGAGAGACCCUGGUCUACAUAACCCUCCCCAAGGUCAGCAAAGCAAGGCCAGAAGGUCAGACUCCCUGCCUUCAGAGGCUUGAGGCACUUCAGAGCUUGGAAGUAGAAAGUGCAUCAAGAAGGAGAACCCUGGAAUGGCCCUGGGCACAGAUCUUAUCACAAGCACACAGCUGACUAGGAUUUCUCUCCCUAUCCACCCCAGGACAGUACCAGUUUGCAGCAUCAGAAGGCUUCUAGGCAAGGAAAGCAUGAAAUGGGCAAAGCCCCAGUGUCUCUGCUGACCUGUAAUAGCCCCCCACCACUGUCCCAAGGUCUGCCAUCAUUUCUCUUUGUUCUAGGUCCCUGUGCCUGACUUGACCAGCCAGCAUAGAAAGUGUGCAACACUCGCCUUGCGCCUCCCCCGCCCAAAACAGCCUCCUCAUCUAGAAAGAGACGAGAAAAAGAAGGAAAAAUAGAAUCUUCCAUCUCUGAGAGCCUUUAAGUACUUUUAUUUUUCAAUACAAUGGGAAAUUACCCUGGAAGAUAAAAGGGUAAACUUGAGGAUCCACGGAAGAGGAACUAGAAUGGCCAGCGUGGGGCACGUGCUAUUGCACUGGUCGCUGGUUCUGGCGACCAGCAGCCCUCAGAAUUCAGCAGGGAGGAUCAGGUCCCUUGGUAAUUAUGCGCAUCCAUUAGCAUGACAGCCAUUCUUUGUUGGAGGCCUUUGGUGACAGUCUCUCUCCGGAGAAGCACACAGCCUUGUGGUCUGUCUCUACAUGGCCACAAAGUACCCCCCCUAAGGGAGAGAUGCCACCAGUAACACCAUAUGAAAGGCAGAGUUUGUUGGGGGGGUGUUCUUGUUUUUAAUCUUAGAUGCUGGUGCAGAGGCACCGAAUGUCUAUUACAAUUUUAUCAACACUGCUAACCAAAGCGGCACUCACAAAGGAAAUGAAAUGUUAAGGUUUCAUGAUGAUGAUGGUGGGGUGGGGCUGGCGAGCUGUAGAAGGUGGGGAAGGAGGGGGAGCAUGUCAGUGCCUUUCCUUUAGCAAAGGGAAAAUAUGGGGCAUUCCAUAAACAGAGCUUCAUUCCCAGCCGGCAAUUCUUACACUUAAUAUGUUUUGUCAGGCAAGUCUUCAAUACAGAUUAAAAUGAAAUGCCAAGUAAUUUCCACCUCUCGGCCGCUCAUGUCUGCGAACAAUGGAGAGUGUUUUGAUGAAUGUCAGUUAAUGGCACUGGCACGCUUGUAGAUUUAGUCCCAGCAGCAAGGACUGAGGCGUGGGGGAGGGGUGGGAGGCUCCUCCAAGUGUGGAGAGGAGGGAUGGGGAAGAUUGUUCUCUAAUCCCCUUCGGACUGAUUGAUUCGGUUCUCAACAACCCAAAUUGCAAAUGAACCCCAAACAAAACCAGGAUGCCAAUGAGAUGACCCAUCGUUGUGAACGAGGCUCAAGGCAGAAAACACAAUUGCCAAGAGCUCCCUCCACCCCAAGGAGGACUUGUGCAUUGAGGUCGCAUUGCAGGGCAGAUGCAAUUUCCGUGGAAGGAAAGUGGGCAGCUGCAUUGCUGCGUCUAAGGCUGCGGUUCAGCUGGAAUAUUGGCAGCAGUCUCACGAGUUGUGCUUUUUUAGGGUUCCCUGGUGGUCUAGCAGUUAAGGAUGCAGCAUUAACACUGCUGUGGCUCGGAACUGUCUGCACACUGCGGGCGUGGCAGAAAAAAAAAAUAGUUGUACUUUUUGAGUCUGUCCUCUUCCUGCUGGGUUCCCUCCUGACAGAAAUCAGACACCGCCAGCCCACAGGCCCAGCUGUGAUUUCUCAUUUCCUGCACGUCCCUGCCUUGGCAGCUUUGCAUUGUAAACUCCCAGCAUGGGGUAUAUCCGAGGAGCAGGAUAAAGGCAGAAGCACCAGAAUUCUGUCCCCCAAGGAUUUAAAUCCUCACCUUCCUCAUGACUGGCGGGUGCCGUGUUCUUAUUUCUCAUCCUGUUCUUAAGCUUGAUUGGGAGGAUUUGGUUUCCACUUAUUCUCUGAUUGUUUGGAAUGGGAGCUUUAGCUGGAAGUUGCUGACUAAUUUUACGGUUGUGUAGGUAACAAUUAACACUUCUGUCCAGCAAUCAUUGGGAAAGAAGCCUCUGUAUUCAAAGUCUAGUCAGUUAAAUUGGUUUUCUCUUCAAGGUACCAAAGACCAGGCUGUUAACUUGACUUCGGUGCUUCCAUGUCUUUGACUUGUUUCUUGGAUCACCAGUUACCAAAAAUUUUAGCCCCAACUCAGUUUUUUUUAGAUGUUGAAUCAGAAAGGAACUCUUGCAGGAAUGCUUAAGACAUGUGCAGAAAUUCUCUUCCUGAGACCAGGAAGGGUAAGGAGAAGCAGAACUGAGGUGUCUUGGGCUCACCCGUUCUCACUGUUAGUUAAAAGCAUUUGCACCGUGUGAUUUUCUGGUUUGAUCCCCACCCCAGCCCUUUAAAGGUGUUACCGUCCCCAUUUUACAAGAAACUGAGCUCUCGUGGGUUUCCCAGGACCUCACAGAAUGAAGGAUAAAGUCUGCAGGUCUGUCUGACCCGAAGUCCCAACUCUCCCACCAAAACUUUAUCUUGAGAAAGUUUCCAACUAUUUCCAAGUAAUUCAGAAUUAAGCUUACUUGUUGGUGAAAGAAGCAGUUCUCAUUACACUUGUACACUGAUGGCCAAUUGUUUUAAAAUUUUCAACUUUAUAUCCUUUUGUCAAUAAUUAGUCUCAAAGCAUCAAACUCGGUGGCUGAGCUCUGAGUCUGAAUCUCUUCCACAGAGGGUUGCUUUGCGUGUAGAAGGCAGGCACUUUCUCAUGUACAUUUCAGAAGCAGCCUGAGUUUUUCAAUUCUUAGAUCAUCUGAAAAGUCCAUUUUGCUGCCAGUUCUAGGCUUUUCAAAACUAACAUUUAAGGAGGUGCUUCUAAAACAGGAAUAAAAUGGAAUGGUUUGAGUUGGUCUCCCUUCUGCAUCCAGGGAAUUUGGAAAAGCAAGAGAAUAGGCAGUAUAGAGUUCUCAUUGUAGCUCAGCAGUUUAAGGACCUGACAUAGUCACCACGAGAGUAUGGGUUUGAUCCCUGGCCUCACUCAGUGGGUUAAGGGUCCAGCAUUGCAGCAAGCUGUGGUUUAGGUGGCAGCUGCAGCUCUGAUUUGACCCCUGGCCCAGGAACUUCCAUAUGUCACAGGUGUAGC